rnacentral:rRNA from 1 species
GUCCACGCCCUAAACGAUGUCAACUGGUUGUUGGGUCUUAACUGACUCAGUAACGAAGCUAACGCGUGAAGUUGACCGCCUGGGGAGUACGGCCGCAAGGUUGAAACUCAAAGGAAUUGACGGGGACCAGCACAAGCGGUGGAUGAUGUGGUUUAAUUCGAUGCAACGCGAAAAAACCUUACCCACCUUUGACAUGUACGGAAGCCUUUAGAGAUGGAGGCGUGCUCGAAAGAGAGCCGUAACACAGGUGCUGCAUGGCUGUCGU